rnacentral:rRNA from 1 species
GAUGAACGCUGGCGGCGUGCCUAAUACAUGCAAGUCGAACGAAACUUCUUUAUCACCGAGUGCUUGCACUCACCGAUAAAGAGUUGAGUGGCGAACGGGUGAGUAACACGUGGGCAACCUGCCCAAAAGAGGGGGAUAACACUUGGAAACAGGUGCUAAUACCGCAUAACCAUAGUUACCGCAUGGUAACUAUGUAAAAGGUGGCUAUACUACCGCCUUUGGAUGGGCCCGCGGCGCAUUAGCUAGUUGGUAGGGUAAAGGCUUACCAAGGCAAUGAUGCGUAGCCGAAUUGAGAGGUUGAUCGGCCACAUUGGAACUGAGACACGGCCCAAACUCCUACGGGAGGCAGCAGUAGGGAAUCUUCCACAAUGGGCGAAAGCCUGAUGGAGCAACGCCGCGUGGGUGAAGAAGGUCUUCGGAUCGUAAAACCCUGUUGUUAGAGAAGAAAGUGCGUGAGAGUAACUGUUCACGUUUCGACGGUAUCUAACCAGAAAGCCACGGCUAACUACGUG